rnacentral:rRNA from 13 species
AGUCCAACACGCGAACUGAGUGAACUCGAGCGUCCUUGGCGAUGC